rnacentral:rRNA from 1 species
ACGAACGCUGGCGGCGUGCUUAACCCAUGCCAGUCGAACGGUGAAGCGCCUUCCUUUUUGGUGGGUGUGGAUGAGUGGCGAACGGGUGAGUAACACGUGAGUAACCUGCCCCCUUCUUCUGGAUAACCGCAUGAAAGUGUGGCUAAUACGGGAUAUUCUGGGUCUGUCGCAUGAUGGGUCUGGGAAAGAUAUUGUUUCGGUGGGGGAUGGGCUCGCGGCCUAUCAGCUUGUUGGUGGGGUGAUGGCCUACCAAGGCGGUGACGGGUAGCCGGCCUGAGAGGGUGGACGGUCACACUGGGACUGAGACACGGCCCAGACUCCUACGGGAGGCAGCAGUGGGGAAUAUUGCACAAUGGGCGCAAGCCUGAUGCAGCGACGCCGCGUGAGGGAUGGAGGCCUUCGGGUUGUGAACCUCUUUCGCCAGUGAAGCAGGCCUGCCUCGUUUGUGGGUGGGUUGACGGUAGCUGGAUAAGAAGCGCCGGCUAACUACGUG